GUCGGGUGUGGUAGCGCAUGCCUGUAGUCCGAGCGGAGACUUGAGUGUGGACCGGCUUGAGCUGCGGAGUUCUCGCGGCAGUCUUCAUUGUGUUGAGGCGGCGUCCGCGCUAAGAGCGGCGUCAACAAGGGGAGUAUGGGGUAGCCUGCACUCUCCUGGUUGCAUAAUGAAAGGUGUUAAUCAAAGGUCAGGCCCUAAAGGGAGCAGCCAAAAGCCGACGCGUCGUGCGGUAGCGGGACAGCGCUGCUGAGCAGUGAGCCUGUCGUGACCGUGGUAAUACAGUCGAACCUCAUUCUUU
rnacentral:SRP_RNA from 1 species